rnacentral:lncRNA from 1 species
CACCUGAAAAGCCUUUCCCAAGUCCCACCUCCCCCCAGGAGGCCAACCUAGGCACUUGGGGCUUUAAAGGAAACAGAGCAAGGGGCUUAUAUGGGCUCCAAUCCAGGCCUUACCUGGAUGCAGGUUAAGCAGGUGAAGCGCCUCCCCGGAAACGGAGAUGGAAUGCCCCACCUGCCUGGCCCAGCCUGCUCUCAUCGGAUCCAGCACUUCCAGGCCUCUGAGCCAGCCGUGACAGCUGAGGCCAUGUGA